rnacentral:rRNA from 1 species
AAUAUUGCUCAAUGGUGGAAACCCUGAUGCAGCGACGCCGCGUGAUCGAAGAUGGCCUUCUGGUCGUAAGGCUCUGUUCUAAGGGAAGAAACGGACGGUACCCUAGGAGGAAGCACCGGCUAACUACGCGCCAUCAGCCGCGGUAAUACGUAGGGGGCGAGCGUUAUCCGGAAUUAUUGGGCGUAAAUGGUGCGUAGGAGGCCUUUUAAGUCAGAUGUGAAAGGCUACGGCUUAACCGUAGUUAGCAUUUGAAACUAAAAGGCUUGAGUGCAGGAGAGGGGAGUGGAAUUCCUAGUGUAGCGGUGAAAUGCGUAGAUAUUAGGAGGAACACCAGUGGCGAAGGCGACUCUCUGGACUGCAACUGACGCUGAGGCACGAAAGCGUGGGGAGCGAACA